CUACGGGUGGCAGCAGUGAGGAAUAUUGGUCAAUGGGCGCAAGCCUGAACCAGCCAUGUCGCGUGCAGGAAGACGGCCCUACGGGUUGUAAACUGCUUUUCUAAGGGAAGACACGCUCUACGGGUAGAGCUACGACGGUACUUUAGGAAUAAGCAUCGGCUAACUCGGUGCCAGCAGCCGCGGUAAUACGGAGGAUGCAAGCGUUAUCCGGAUUUAUUGGGUUUAAAGGGUGCGUAGGCGGGAUAUUAAGUCAGUGGUGAAAGUUUGCCGCUUAACGGUAAAAUUGCCAUUGAAACUGAUAUUCUUGAGAGUAUUCGGGGCAACUGGAAUGUGUAAUGUAGCGGUGAAAUGCAUAGAUAUUACACAGAACACCAAUCGCGUAGGCAGGUUGCCAGGUUACAUCUGACGCUGAGGCACGAAAGCGUGGGGAUCAAACAGGAUUAGAUACCCUAAUAGUC
rnacentral:rRNA from 1 species